rnacentral:rRNA from 1 species
UACGUAGGGGGGCAAGCGUUGUCCGGAUUUACUGGGCGUAAAGAGCGUGUAGGCGGCCAAGCAGGUCCGUUGUGAAAACUGGAGGCUUAACCUCCAGACGUCGACGGAAACCGCGUGGCUAGAGUCCGGAAGAGGAGAGUGGAAUUCCUGGUGUAGCGGUGAAAAUGCGCAGAUAUCAGGAAGAACACCAAUGGCGAAGGCAGCUCUCUGGGACGGUACUGACGCUGAGACGCGAAAGCGUGGGGAGCGAACAGG